GCUGGUCUCUUCUCCCAGGUAACUAGUUACGGGGUGAGAGGAAAUGGCCUCAGGUUGUACCAGGGAACACAGAUUGGAUAGGAAAAUUUCUUCACCAAAAGGAGCUCCAGGGAAGUUGAAAACUCCUGAAUUAACUUUUACCAUGAGAAGUAAGGACAGAGGAUAAUGUCUCUGAAUCAAUACCGCUUGAAGCCUGAAGCACAUUUGCAAAGGGGCAGUUCCAGAAGAAGCAAGGAGACAAGCUGAAAGCAAUCCAUGGCAAGAGUCUCCAAACCACAGGAAAAUCCCUUCCCUAUCUUUUCCUUUAUAAAGCUGUGCAAUUUCCCCUCCUACCCCCAUCAAGUGGUGCAAAACCUUUUGCUUUAUGGCAAAACACUCACUAGGAUACUUUGCCUGGCUAGGUUUCUGCUGUCUGUUGAGGGACAGUGAAUUUAAGUGUCAUCAAUGUCAUUGACUCUAACGAGUAUUCCAUGGGCAGCUCUGCCCAAGAGGUCAUGCUUCCACUGAUUUUGAAACAAUAGAUGUCAGGUUUUCUACCCUACAAAGCAAGUUUCAUUAUCUGCAGCCAUUAAAUAACUGUUUCCUGUCAGUCUAGGGUUACAACUUUGUGGACCAAAGCCUACUGGUCACAUAGGUCAGUGAGUUGUAUUUGAGGGUUCUUGUAAGAAGUUGAAAAUCCUCUAGAAAGUAGAGGCAGGGGGGCUGGAUGUUCAGCUUAUCUUUUUGAGUUACAUGCCCAGUGCAGGGCUUCCUACAGGUGGAGGGGAAAGGAUUUGAUGACUCUGCUGUCCUUUUUGUUAUGAUCUUCUCAGAUGAAAGAAAAGUGAGAUUCUUUUCCCAUGGACACUUAAGAGGCAGUAGGACCUAAAAGCAGAAAUCACUGUUGUAUUAAUAGAGGAACUUGGUAUCCAGUGUGCAGAAAUAGGUAGAAGAACCUAAAGUAACCCACA